GGUGGGGUAGCUCAGCUGGUUAGAGCGCAGGACUCAUAAUCCUGAGGUCGUGAGUUCAAGUCUCACUCUCACUA
rnacentral:tRNA from 1 species